CAGUAGCCACGGGAAUACGAAGGGGGCUAGCGUUGCUCGGAAUGACUGGGCGUAAAGGGCGCGUAGGCGGCGGCCAAAGUCAGGCGUGAAAUUCCUGGGCUCAACCUGGGGGCUGCGCUUGAUACUUGGUUGCUUGAGUGGGGAAGAGGGUCGUGGAAUUCCCAGUGUAGAGGUGAAAUUCGUAGAUAUUGGGAAGAACACCGGUGGCGAAGGCGGCGACCUGGUCCUUGACUGACGCUGAGGCGCGAAAGCGUGGGGAGCAAACAGGAUUAGAUACCCCCGUAGUCCCUGUCUCUUAUAC
rnacentral:rRNA from 1 species